GAUGAACGCUAGCUACAGGCUUAACACAUGCAAGUCGAGGGGAAACGACAUUGGAAGCUUGCUUCCGAUAGGCGUCGACCGGCGCACGGGUGAGUAACGCGUAUCCAACCUGCCCACCACUUGGGGAUAACCUUGCGAAAGUAAGACUAAUACCCAAUGACGUCUCUAGAAGACAUCUGAAGGAGAUUAAAGAUUUAUCGGUGAUGGAUGGGGAUGCGUCUGAUUAGCUUGUUGGCGGGGUAACGGCCCACCAAGGCGACGAUCAGUAGGGGUUCUGAGAGGAAGGUCCCCCACAUUGGAACUGAGACACGGUCCAAACUCCUACGGGAGGCAGCAGUGAGGAAUAUUGGUCAAUGGGGCGAGAGCCUGAACCAGCCAAGUAGCGUGCAGGAUGACGGCCCUAUGGGUGUAAACUGCUUUUAUAAGGGAAUAAAGUGAGCCUCGUGAGGCUUUUUGCAUGUACCUUAUGAAUAAGGACCGGCUAAGUUCCGUG
rnacentral:rRNA from 1 species